GGCUUGAUAAGCCGGUUGUGAAAGCCCCGGGCUCAACCUGGGAACGGCAUCCGGAACUGUCAGGCUAGAGUGCAGGAGAGGAAGGUAGAAUUCCCGGUGUAGCGGUGAAAUGCGUAGAGAUCGGGAGGAAUACCAGUGGCGAAGGCGGCCUUCUGGACUGACACUGACACUGAGGUGCGAAAGCGUGGGUAGCAAACAGGAUUAGAUACCCUGGUAGUCCACGCCGUAAACGAUGUCGACUAGCCGUUGGGCUCCUUGAGGGCCUUGUGGCGGAGUUAACGCAUUAAGUCGACCGCCUGGGGAGUACGGCCGCAAGGUUAAAACUCAAAUGAAUUGACGGGGGCCCGCACAAGCGGUGGAGCAUGUGGUUUAAUUCGAUGCAACGCGAAGAACCUUACCUACCCUUGACAUCCUGCGAAUCGGGUAGAGAUACCUGAGUGCCUUCGGGAGCGCAGAGACAGGUGCUGCAUGGCUGUCGUCAGCUCGUGUUGUGAAAUGUUGGGUUAAGUCCCGUAACGAGCGCAACCCUUGUCCUUAUUUGCCAGCGAUUCGGUCGGGAACUCUAAGGAGACUGCCGGUGACAAACCGGAGGAAGGUGGGGACGACGUCAAGUCAUCAUGGCCCUUACGGGUAGGGCUACACACGUGCUACAAUGGCCGGUACAAAGGGCGGCGAGCUCGCGAGAGUCAGCAAAUCCCUUAAAGCCGGUCUCAGUCCGGAUCGGAGUCUGCAACUCGACUCCGUGAAGUCGGA
rnacentral:rRNA from 1 species